AGGACGAACGCUGGCGGCGUGCUUAACACAUGCAAGUCGAGCGGUAAGGCCUUUCGGGGUACACGAGCGGCGAACGGGUGAGUAACACGUGGGUGAUCUGCCCUGCACUCUGGGAUAAGCCUGGGAAACUGGGUCUAAUACCGGAUAUGACCUGCUCUCGCAUGGGGGUGGGUGGAAAGAUUUAUCGGUGCAGGAUGGGCCCGCGGCCUAUCAGCUUGUUGGUGGGGUAAUGGCCUACCAAGGCGACGACGGGUAGCCGACCUGAGAGGGUGACCGGCCACGACUGGGACUGAGACACGGCCCAGACUCCUACGGGAGGCAGCAGUGGGGAAUAUGCACAAUGGGCGAAAGCCUGAUGCAGCGACGCCGCGUGAGGAUGAAGGCCUUCGGGUUGUAAACCGUCUUUCAGCAGGACGAAGCGCAAGUGACGUACCUGCAGAAGAAGCACCGGCUAACUACAUGCCAGCAGCCGC
rnacentral:rRNA from 1 species